GUCCAGGGGUUUAAAUGUCCGGUCGCCUUCCCCUGCGGGGUGUGUGUGCACGCAUGUGUCCGUAUCCGAAGUGAUGAGAGCAGGUAGCGUAAAGCUAACUGUUGUCUAAGAAUGAGGUGUGGUGUAAGAGCUCUAGCUGUUGUUUCAUAACCCUGUACCUAUGGCUGUUUCUUACACUGGCUUCAUCUACGGCUGUUCAUGCAGCUGACUGUGUGGCCAUCAUGGUGCUGGUCCGCUGCUCCUCUGAGUGUUCUGUGCAUUUAUAUCCACAGACAUCUCAACUCCAAGGACUCGACAGAUGAAAUGAACCCACAGAAGAUUUUCAUGUGAAAGAAG
ensembl:lncRNA